UCUAAUGUGGCAGAAUAGUGUAUUGAAUUUAAGCUUCAAAUAUAAGGUUUACCUUUAUUAGAA
rnacentral:tRNA from 1 species